rnacentral:rRNA from 1 species
AUCCUGGCUCAGGACGAACGCUGGCGGCGUGCUUAACACAUGCAAGUCGAACGGAAAGGCCUCUUCGGAGGUACUCGAGUGGCGAACGGGUGAGUAACACGUGGGCAAUCUGCCCUGCACUUCGGGAUAAGCCUGGGAAACUGGGUCUAAUACCGGAUAGGACCUCAAGACGCAUGUCUUCUGGUGGAAAGCUUUUGCGGUGUGGGAUGGGCCCGCGGCCUAUCAGCUUGUUGGUGGGGUGACGGCCUACCAAGGCGACGACGGGUAGCCGGCCUGAGAGGGUGUCCGGCCACACUGGGACUGAGAUACGGCCCAGACUCCUACGGGAGGCAGCAGAAGGG